CGGCCAAAUCCAGCCUGGGCCGCGGGGCGUGUGCGCCCGCCCGACCCCGAGCGGCCAUUCAGCGCUCCCCGGGCGCCCGGCGCGGCCCUUCAUAUGGAAACGGACCCGUCCUGACAGAUUGCGACGGGUCCCCGGCCUGGGGGCGGGGCCCAGAGGGAGGGGGCAGGGGACAGAAUGCCCUGCCAGCCUCCAAAACCGCCCAGGCAGGAUAGCUGCACCUCUCCCUCUGGGAAAACUGGAAGAAAAGAAAAUGCCAGAAAGUUAUGGUAAAACUUAAGAUGCGGCCGAAGUCGCUUUCUUUGCCCCUGCUGCGAGUGUUUGAAUAAGAAGAAUGCUCCUGGACUGUAACAAGCAAAAAGAAUGAAGAAGACAAAAGAUUUCCAGAAAAAGGUUUAGCUAGAAGACAAGGCAAGUGAAACUGAAAGGAGAAAAAAAGCAUUUACAAUGGAACAAUAAGUGUACUAAUCGCUUUGAUAUAUUAUACAAGCCCAAAGACCCAAAACAUUGUGUAAUUAUUUAUAAAUGACUUCUCCACUCCUGUGUAUAAUGCGGAGGAAAGAAUAAAACUGCAGGCUACUCUCUAAACUAUUUCUAAAUAGACCUGGUUCAAAAGAAGGCAGAAGUGUUUGAAAUAAAAUAAUUAAUGGUGGAUUUUAUGGUUGUCUCAUUAAAACAUUUUAA
rnacentral:lncRNA from 1 species